CACGGAGGGUGCAACCGUUAUUCGGAAUCACUGGGCGUAAAGAGCGCGUAGGCGGUCUCUUAAGUCAGAUGUGAAAGCCCGGGGCUCAACCCUGGAAGUGCAUUUGAAACUAAGGGACUUGAGUACGGGAGAGGGAAGUGGAAUUCCUGGUGUAGCGGUGAAAUGCGUAGAUAUCAGGAGGAACACCGGUGGCGAUGGCGACUUCCUGGACCAAUACUGACGCUGGGGCGCGAAGGCGUGGGGAGCAAACAGG
rnacentral:rRNA from 1 species